CAUAUUUGUCACAAAGCAUAAUUUCCAUGAUAGGACUCAGAUCCGCAUGCGAUUUUUUUUGCAGCAACGACACAGUUGAAGUAACUCCUUGGUGGAGGCUGGCUACAUUUUCACAAUGUCCGGCCCCACGUUAGAACUUCGGGGAAAAGGCUCAAGGAAGUGACUAGUCCACCAAACAAAAUAGCCAGUUUGGUCAACGUCCCUCUCAACCUACACUCAGCCAAGAUGAACCAACCUGCAGGGACAGUGGAAAGAGCAUCACAUCAGGAGUCAGGAACUAGCCUACGGCCCUGGACAUAUCCCUUCACCUCCCUGGAAUGAGGGCCCUCCUGAGGAGCUUUGCCUUCCCGUAAGCCCUGGAGCGGGCUGAAGUGAUAAGCACCAGGACCUGUCACGACAAGGCUGGAAGUCUUGAGGAAAGGGACGAGACCCUGUUUCACUGGUUUGGCCAAAUCAGCCUGGUUCCAUCCUCCUACAGCUAAAUCAACACUUUUUAUCUACAGCCGCUGAUAAUCUGACCCACUGCUUCCUGGUAAGAUCUGUACUGUGUGAGGUCUUCGUUCUUGGUUGU
rnacentral:lncRNA from 1 species